GCAACCGCAUUUACUCUUUUCCCAUCUCCAAUUCCAUCGUUGAAUUUGAACCCUUCUCUCUAUCUUUCUCAGUCUCUCUCCUUCCAUCUUCUCUCUUCCAUUAAUGGGGUCCCCUCUCCGGUUCCCAGGGUUGUGACGGAAACACCCGCAAAAUAAAACCCAUCCCAAUUCCCUCGUCACUCUCGUAUCUCUCAUUCACACAUCGUCACGGCGGGCGACGCUAAUGCGAGAGCAGACGACGUCACGGCGGACGACCGCCACGACUCCUUGAUGAUGGAGUGACAGACACAGCCAGCAUCCUCUUCUCCUUCUCUCACGGUGGCAGAUCUAAGGUUUAGGUUCAGAUCUUCUCUUUGUUGUCGAAAUUGUAGCUGCGUAAUCAUCUGAGUUGUACCUGCGUUUUCUACAGAAGAUGCUAGAGGUCUGUUGCAUAUGCACUUGAAGCACAAGGUUUUCCGCGGGGAUCAGCAGUAGGUGUAGAUAUGCCAAUGAAUGUUGAUUAUUGUCAAACAUUGAACGAGGAAGAAAAUUUUGAGGUUCAGGACAGAGAAUCACUUUUUCCUCUUGGAUGGAUUCAUACACACCCUACACAGACAUGUUUCAUGUCAUCAGUGGACUUCCAUACUCAUUACUAGGGCUGUCAAUGAUGCGAGUCGAGCUCGAGUUUGACUAAACUCGACUCGAACUCGAAAACUCAUACUCAAACUCGACUCGACUCGAAAACUCGCGAGUUUCAAAAUUUCAAGCUUGAACUGGAACUCGAAACCUAAACUCGAACUCGAAUUCGAUUCAAGCUCGAGCUCGAACUCGAACUCGUUUCAAGCUCGAACUCGAACUCGUUUCAAGCUCGAACUCGAACUCGUUUCAAGCUCGAACUCGAACUCGUUUCAUGCUUUUUGGUCAUUUGAUAUAUUUUUAUUUUUUUUAUAAGAAAUUCUUUACUUUGCUUUUUGGUCAUUUUAUACACUUUUUUUCGUUUUUUUAAAAGAAAGGUACAAGUAUUUUUAUAGAAAAAAUUAAAAGUAAAUAUAUAUAAAAUUUUAUCGAGUAUCUCACGAGUUUCUCGAGUCGAGUAUUGAGUUGCUCGACUCGACUCGUUAACAUGUCGAGUCGAGUUCGAGCUCACUCGAGUCGAGCUUUGACCGAGCUUUGACCGAGCCGAGUUCGAGUAGCUCGCGAGCUGUCUCAACUCAUUGCCAGCCCUACUCAUUACUCAUAUCAGGUCCUUGCGUAUCGUGGUGAAUAGGUGAGGCGCAGUGUUGCUGAUUUGAGAGAGGCACAGUAUCGUGUAGAAGGAAAAGAUUGCUAUCUGUUUAAGAUCAGUGAAGAUGUAGUAAUCGAUGCUACCAACAAAGGAAACAUUGCUCGCCUAAUCAACCACUCCGUGUUGUUCCAUUUUCUCAGCAACUUAUUGCGACUGAAAGAGCUUGGUUUGCAUGGCGUGAUUACUUUAAUUGAGCUUGGUGCACACUUUUUCUGUCUACUAGUUAGAUAUAGGAUUCUUGCUCCUGUAUCUAUAUUGUUGUAACUUUCGUAAUGCAAAUAAAUGAUCUCUGUUAAUGUGAUGUUUGUCCUUUUCUCUU